CCUGGUGGCUCAGAGGGUAAAGAGUCUGCCUGCAAUGCAGAAGACCUGGGUUCGAUCCCUGGGUCAGGA
rnacentral:tRNA from 1 species